CUACGUGCCAGCAGCCGCGGUAAUACGUAGGUCCCGAGCGUUGUCCGGAUUUAUUGGGCGUAAAGCGAGCGCAGGCGGUUUGAUAAGUCUGAAGUUAAAGGCUGUGGCUCAACCAUAGUUCGCUUUGGAAACUGUCAAACUUGAGUGCAGAAGGGGAGAGUGGAAUUCCAUGUGUAGCGGUGAAAUGCGUAGAUAUAUGGAGGAACACCGGUGGCGAAAGCGGCUCUCUGGUCUGUAACUGACGCUGAGGCUCGAAGGUGCGGGUAUCGAACAGGAUUAGAUACCCUGGUAGUCCGCACAGUAAACGAUGGAUGCCCGCUGUUGGUACCUGGUAUCAGCGGCUAAGCGAAAGCAUUAAGCAUCCCACCUGGGGAGUACGCCGGCAACGGUGAAACUCAAAGGAAUUGACGGGGGCCCGCACAAGCGGAGGAACAUGUGGUUUAAUUCGAUGAUACGCGAGGAACCUUACCCGGGCUUGAA
rnacentral:rRNA from 1 species